rnacentral:rRNA from 1 species
AUUGAACGCUGGCGGCAUGCCUUACACAUGCAAGUCGAACGGUAACAGGUCUUCGGAUGCUGACGAGUGGCGAACGGGUGAGUAAUACAUCGGAACGUGCCCAGACGUGGGGGAUAACGAGGCGAAAGCUUUGCUAAUACCGCAUACGAUCUAAGGAUGAAAGCAGGGGACCGCAAGGCCUUGCGCGUUUGGAGCGGCCGGUGGCAGAUUAGGUAGUUGGUGGGAUAAAAGCUUACCAAGCCGACGAUCUGUAGCUGGUCUGAGAGGACGACCAGCCACACUGGGACUGAGACACGGCCCAGACUCCUACGGGAGGCAGCAGUGGGGAAUUUUGGACAAUGGGCGAAAGCCUGAUCCAGCAAUGCCGCGUGCAGGAUGAAGGCCUUCGGGUUGUAAACUGCUUUUGUACGGAACGAAAAGGCUCUGGCUAAUACCUGGGGCACAUGACGGUACCGUAAGAAUAAGCACCGGCUAACUACGU